CACUGACUAGCCACUGGGAAAGGCUCCAACCAGAAAUGCUGAUCAUUAAUCUGUAUAAAUCCGUAGAAGCUUUAAUUGGGAUUCCAUCUGCUUAAGGCCCUGUCCCCUGUACUUUCAUUUUCCUUCCUCCAGAGGGCGCCUUAUAACCAUCAUCAUAUCAGCAUCGUCAUCCUCCUCCUCCGGACAAGCCUUACAAUGCCCAGAAGAUAAAAGCUCUUAGGAGGUAAACAUCGGACUGACAUCUCCUUUCAAACAUUCAUUGAGGAUCUACUCUGUGAGAAGAAGCAAUACCAUGUUAUCUCAUUCUAGUUCCAGUUCUAGUUGACUUGAUUGUCAAACGACUGCUAAGAAGUAGAGAGGAGGCUUCACCAUGUUUGCCAGGCUAGUCUGGAACUCUUGACCUCAGGUGAUCCACCCACCUCGGCCUCCCAAAGUGCUAGGAUUACAGGCAUGAGCCACCUCGCCCAGCUGUUUCUGUGUCACGUUUUGAUACUUGAAUAAAAAUGACACUUUGGAGCCUUGAAAAAUGGACUUUCCUUCUGAAGUACCCAGGAGAGUAGGAUGGACUUCUUCCUCUCUCCCUACACUAUCCCUUGGAGAAAACCUUUUAUCAAGAAGAUACCAAAUAUCAUCACUGAUAUAAUGUCAGAGGAGGCCACUCUCUAUAGCCCAACCUCCAGGAUUUCAGCACUUCGUGGACAUGGAGGCUGGUGAAAUAGAGGAGAUGACAUGAAUGAGGGACUACAUUGGAAUGAAGAAGAACCUGGAGGAGGUAAAAAAACUGAAGGCUCCGGAUGUCGGGAAGGAGGAGGAAACCCUUGAAAAGGGGGUUGAGUGUACUGAGUGUAUCAAUCAGGGACUGGUGGUCAAGAAGACGGGAAUGAUUCCAAGUCUUUCAUACCAUGGGAAUUUAAUUCAAGACAUUGGUUACAAAGAUUUUGGCAGGACUGGAAGAUGAAAAGCUCCUUGAGGUAAUGGACAGUGAAACGGGCCCAGCAAGUUUAAGAAGUUUGCCCCAAACCCGGAGCUAGAUGGUGGAGGGCUGGGAUACAGAUCACAGCUGUCUCGUUUGGGAGCUUGCAUUCUGAAUCACCAUGGAUGCCUUUUGGAUGUGAAAUGUGCCUGAAUGAUGAAAGCUGAGCAGAGAAAAGAACUGAAGGUCAUAAUAAUCUCCUAACAGAGAAAGCAUGUCUUAGAGAACCAAAGACUUUGUACUGCAAACAUCUUGUUUUACAGGUGGAGAAACUGUAGCCAAAGCAGCUCAGAUGAGUUUGUGAAGGUUACUUACAGCUUGCUAAUGGCAGAAGGAAGACUGGAGAUGAAGUGGAUUUUCCUGACAUUCAUUAAUUCCACCAACAUUUAUUGUCCCAAGCACUUUUUUAGGUAUUAAAGAGAAAGAACAAGACAGAUCAGGUCCCUGCUGGUAGGAAUAUUACACCAUGACCAGAACAGUGAUUUGACAUUUGAAUAGACAACUAAGUGGAACACCCACACUAAAGUAUUAGAAAGUGGGAUGGGCUAUGGGCAGGGGAAGGGGAGAGGCUUUAUAUACAUUCUACUCCAUUUUAUAGAUGAAUUCACUAAUGUUCAGUGGCAUUAAAUAACAUGUCUAAUUCAUAAAUGUUAGACACAAGAUUCAAACCUUCACAGUAGAGAGAGAGAGAGAGAGAGAGAGGAGUAAGAGAAUAAGAAGGACAUCACAACCUCCUGGUUAGGGAGUAGCUCUUAACAUGAAUCAAUAAAUCUGGUUGGAGCAAGGUGUCUAGUUAGAUUGUCAGAUUUCCGGGAACCAGAGAUACCCGUUUUUUGGCAGAACCUAGACAGCCAGAAGAAGCCUCCUACCUUGUUCUUCAUGCUUAAUUUCUUUAGAAAGUCAAACUCAUGGAUGAGCAUUUGGCUCAAGUUCUUCAGCUCCAGGUCAGGGAAUCUGUGACGUUAGGGAAUAUCUACCACUCUGGUAGCUGCAGAGGAGAUGCAGAAACACUGGAGCUGGGGACAAGCAUGCCACCUCCAAAAAUUAAAAAGAAAAGAGUUUAUCAUAUAGGUGUGUGAAGAUUCAUUUUACUGAGAAAGGUCAAUUCAGCUGUGCCCCUUCUAUAUAGCUCCUUGGAGAGAAUUAGCAAAGGCAGUCCCUUUAGGUGGAAUUAUUAGAAUAAAGUAUCCAUCUCUGAAGGAAAUUUGUAAAAGCAUCCCUCCAAAAGUCUCCCCAUUUGACUGUCAAAUUAGAAAAGGAGCCCCAUCAGGCAGCCCUGGGUCAGGUUUCUUGGAUGGGUGGGCUGCACCACUGCUUAGUUUCCUGGUCCCUAAUACUUUAAGGAGCCGGAUGGGAGUGAGAUCUGAACAACUCACUCUCACUUUCUACAAUUCUGUAAGGGUAGGGAGUAGGAACUAGAAUGGGGUGCUUUUUUUCCCUGUGAGAAUUGCUAUCGAUCCUGUGGAGGGUUUCUCAGCCAGGAGACUCCAUCACUCUGGCCUCUCUGAACUCAGAGCUCACUCACCUCCCUUUCGAAGCUAACGUGGCAGAGCUGGCUGGGAGGUGGUUACUGGCUCAGGGCCCUGAAACACUGAGUAAUUCCUAUGAUGGCUGGGACUGGAGACACCAUUCCAGACACUUCCACGUUGUCUAAAAGCAAAAAAAAAAAAAAAAAAAAAAAAAAAGUCUCCACCACCCAGCCCAAACGGUUAGAGGCAGAUUCCUUGGUGCUGAAACAAGACCUAUCCCUUUUAUGGAAGGCCAUUGCUGGAAAUUUCCACCAUAGAGGAAAGCCAGGGUUCUUUUUCUAUUUUUUACAGAACAGGGAGGGAACAAGUCAGGGGUGAGAGAUGAAAGGGGAUGGCUGAAGGGAACCGCACCUCUUUUCCUGAAGUUUUUGCAUGUAUAUGAUCACUCUUAGCUUAUAAAGACGAAGAUUUGAGCUUCCUUGCCGAUCUCCUCCAGUGUUGACCACUUUUAUGGAGCCCCCAGUGCUAUACUAGAGCUAUGGUCUAAUCAAGGCAUCAACAAGCAUGAAGUUUAUGAUUUCAGAAGAAACAGGACAAGACAUAUUGCACAUCAAAUCCUAUAAACGACAAUCCAGCAUGGCCAACAAAAAUAGACCAUUGCAGCUGUGCUCUGGCUGAGUGUUUAUUUAUUGGAGAAGAGAAAGGUACAAUCAAGAAAAGGGGGAAUCAUGUCAGGAUGUUAUUGGAGUCAAGCAGAUUGACUGCCUGAAGUGAAAGCCCUGGCCAUGCAGAGUAAAGGCCAGCGAUUGGGUCAGAGGCAGGAGAACAUUGGAGGCAUGGACUUACAGCCCCAGUAUUGAUUUUACAUUGAAUUCCAGGUUUUGCUGCAAUUAAAAGCUACUGCAAGGUUUUGAGAAGAGAAAUGGUAUGAUCAAAUAAUUAGAGCAAUGUGGUUUUCAUUUUAAUUAGGAAAGACCACAGGGAUGAGAGAGAUGAGAGGAUCAGCUUGUGAGGUAAUUCACUAACCAAAUAAGUUCAGGAGCCAAAGAGGUCUUUCUGAAAUCGACAAAUUAAAGCUACAGUGUUGUCUGACAUUAUAACAAGAGGUUUUUACUGUUAUUAUUAUUAAUUUUAUCUGAUUCAGUUACCUUGUUAGUUCUGACAGACUUGGAUUGCUAGCUUGAUUAGUUCCCUCUUAUUUGUCCAGAAACACCAAAACACCAAAAUUAUACCAUUUUAUCAAUGUAUGCCUUUAUAUAUGGCUAUGGUUUAGGCAAAGUGAAGAGAAAAAUGUCUAGACUAAAGGUGACUGAAUUCUUUCUCUAUCUUAUUUUGAAAAGAAGGAAUUCAUGUGUUUCUUUCUCAUCGUCAGCCCUAGUCUUUUUGGGACAUUUUAGUCUGAAAUCUGAAUGUGCUUACCAGCUGGGAAAAAAUUUGACAUUUACUUGAUUUUGUCCCUUGGAAGUAAAAAAAAAAAAAAAAAAAAAAAAUGGCAGCUUUAUUAAACAACAAGUCUGCUUAUUUCUUUCUUCAAUCCCUCCCCAGGUUGCAGGCUCUUUUCAAAGCUCUGGUAGACCUCUAACCAGUUUUCUAAAGGUAAUUUCCCAAAGUGCUGCCUCUAGCCAUAGAAAAUGCCACGUAGGUUUCUGGAUUUAUAAAGGCCGAGAAAGCCAUUUUGGUUACAUUUGCAGCUUUUUCUGUGGUUCUGGGUGGUAACGCCCGAUUGCCAACAUUAUUCUUUCCUUCUUCUGGGAAGAGCCAUAAUUGUACUUGGCUUGGUUGACACAAAGGCCUCUGAAAAAUAUGAAGCUGAUCCCUCUAGUGUUCUUUUGUGAAGACUACAGUACAGAAUGUUGAAGGGAGGGAAACAGCAGCACAAUGCCACAAACAACAGCUCCAAAAGUUAAUUUGUUUUUUAAAUGACAUUAAUAAAAUGAUUUGCAAUGACAGUUUUGUGUGCUGCAUAGAGUAGUGACAAAAGAAAAUGUUGGCACUUUGAAACAAUUCAUAUAUGUAUUGCAGGCAUGCAAUUGGCUACCUUUAUGGGAGAAUGUGUGGCAUUGAGAAUUAUCUGAACAGAUAAUAAACAAUUUAAAUAACAUUGGCCAGAGUUAUCAGAGGUACAGAGGCAAUGUAAACUUGCCUCGUUUUCAGAAAUGAAUUUACUCCACUGGGUAGGAUUGUCUGACUAUAUUCAUAGGCUUUUUCUGGUCAUAAACAGAGAAGAAGAGAUUUUACAUAUUUCUACAUUCCAUUUCUGAUGUUCCCUGAUAUUCAAUAAAAACAGUAUGCUAUGUUC
rnacentral:lncRNA from 1 species